UACUGCUCCCUCCGUCUUAUAAUUAGUAUUUAUAAUUAGUAUUUUCAUUGUUGUUAGAUGAUAAAACAUGAUUAAUAUUUUAUGCGUAACUUGUCUAUUUAAUUUUUUCAUAUUUUUUCAAAUAAGACGGACGGUCAAACGUUGGACAUGGAAAUUCAGGGUU
rnacentral:pre_miRNA from 1 species